GUGGGAUGAGUGUGUGUCGGAGCCCUGUAAAACGGAGGAACCUGUGAGGACCAGCCCGGAUCCUACUACUGCACUGCCAACAGGGUUUCAUGGGACGAGACUGUGAAAUAGAGCAGGACAGGUGUGAGUCCAGCCCCUGUCUGAACGGCGGGGUGUGUCGCGGCUACAGGCGGAGCCACCCGUGUCUCUGUAAAGAAGGCUUCUUCGGAGACCGCUGCCAGUCGUUGGAGAAUCCCUGUGUACUGCAGCCGUGUGGGAACAGAGGCCUCUGCCACAGUAACAG